CUGGGUCAUUAGUAAUGGUCUUCGAUUUGGAUACUGCUCUUUGAGUAGUAAAAGCUUCAGAAAUCUCCACAUCAGGUGGAGAAAACUGGAGCAGCAAGCUCUCAUGCCUCGUCUCAAGCUCUGGAAUUGUGGACCGUGGCAAGAACGUCCAGGAAUAGAGAAGAAGUUUUGGAAAGUGCACGAAAACUUCAGCACUCAUUCCAGCUCCACCUUGGCCUGACAUCUCCUCCUCCAUGCCACCUGGAUGCUCAUGGUCUUGGCUCCCAGCCAUCAUUGAAUUUACCCAGAAGCUAAUGACAUGGAUGGAAAAUACUACAUUUGCCAAAUCGGUGGCUGCAUUCCAUACACCCAAGGCUAUGAUCAUCUGUUCUAGCAAAUAUGCCACAUCUGGUAGAGCAGCUGCACUUGGGCUUGAUUGAAUGGCAAUCAUCUACUGUCAUCCUUCAGGAUCUGUCUGGUUUUUGCAGGGGCCAGACUGGUGAAUUAAAUGGAGAACACUUCCAAGCUGGGGCACCUG